AUUGAACGCUGGCGGCAGGCCUAACACAUGCAAGUCGAACGAGUGGCGGACGGGUGAGUAAUGGCUGGGAAACCGCCUGUUAGCGGGGUUUAACUACUGGAUAGGGUAGCUAAUACCGCAUACCAUCAUAUGUGGCCAGAGGGGAUUAGCUAGUCGGUGGGGUAACGGCUCACGAAGACGACGAUCCCUAGCUGGUCUGAGAGGAUGACCAGCCACACUGGAACUGAGACACGGUCCAGACUCCUACGGGAGGCAGCAGUGGGGAAUAUUGAACAAUGGGCGCAAGGCUGAAGCAGCCAUGCCGCGUGUAUGAAGAAUGCCUUCGGGUUGUGAAGUACUUUCAGCGGGGAGGCGUUACCCGCAGAAGAAGCACCGGCUAACUCCGUGCCAGCCGCCGCGGUAAUUC
rnacentral:rRNA from 1 species